UUCUUGACCUCAAAUCAGGUAGGACUACCCGCUGAACUUAAGCAUAUCAAUAAGCGGAGGAAAAGAAACUAACAAGGAUUCCCCUAGUAACUGCGAGUGAAGCGGGAAAAGCUCAAAUUUAAAAUCUGGCGGUCUCUGGCCGUCCGAGUUGUAAUCUAGAGAAGUGAUGCCCGCACUGGACCGUGUACAAGUCUCCUGGAAUGGAGCGUCAUAGAGGGUGAGAAUCCCGUCUUUGACACGGACUACCAGGACUUUGUGGUACGCUCUCAAAGAGUCGAGUUGUUUGGGAAUGCAGCUCUAAAUGGGUGGUAAAUUCCAUCUAAAGCUAAAUAUUGGCGAGAGACCGAUAGCGAACAAGUACCGUGAGGGAAAGAUGAAAAGAACUUUGGAAAGAGAGUUAAACAGUACGUGAAAUUGCUGAAAGGGAAACGCUUGAAGUCAGUCGCGUUGGCCGGGAAUCAGCCUCGCUUUUGCGUGGUGUACUUUCUGGUUGACGGGUCAGCAUCAAUUUUGACCGCUGGAAAAAGGCUUAGGGAAUGUGGCAGCUUCGGCUGUGUUAUAGCCCUUCGUCACAUACAACGGUUGGGAUUGAGGAACUCAGCACGCCGCAAGGCCGGGUUUCGACCACGUUCGUGCUUAGGAUGCUGGCAUAAUGGCUUUAAGCGACCCGUCUUGAAACACGGACCAAGGAGUCUAACAUGCCUGCGAGUGUUUGGGUGGAAAACCCGAGCGCGUAAUGAAAGUGAAAGUUGAGAUCCCUGUCGUGGGGAGCAUCGACGCCCGGACCUGAACUUUUGUGACGGAUCCGCGGUAGAGCAUGUAUGUUGGGACCCGAAAGAUGGUGAACUAUGCCUGAAUAGGGCGAAGCCAGAGGAAACUCUGGUGGAGGCUCGUAGCGAUUCUGACGUGCAAAUCGAUCGUC
rnacentral:rRNA from 1 species